rnacentral:rRNA from 1 species
UACGGAGGGUGCAAGCGUUAUCCGGAUUCACUGGGUUUAAAGGGUGCGUAGGUGGGCAGGUAAGUCAGUGGUGAAAUCUCCGGGCUUAACCCGGAAACUGCCGUUGAUACUAUCUGUCUUGAAUGUAGUGGAGGUGAGCGGAAUAUGUCAUGUAGCGGUGGAAUGCUUAGAUAUGACAUAGAACAUCGAUUGCGAAGGCAGCUCGCUACACGAAUAUUGACUCUGAGGCACGAAAGCGUGGGGAUCAAACAGG